rnacentral:rRNA from 1 species
UGAAGGUAGAUCUAGCAGGUGAUGGUUAUCCUGUGGUAAGACCGUAGGGUGUGUGAUAGGAAAAUCCGUUGCACAUUAAGCCCGAGAGUUUAUACAUAGCCGAUUUAGGCGAAAUGAUUGAUCCUAUGCUGCCUAGAAAAGCCUAGCAAUGAGUUAAUAUGGUGCCCGUACCCCAAACCGACACAGGUAGACAAGUAGAGAAUACUAAGGAGAGCGAGAUAACUCCGGUUAAGGAACUCGGCAAAUGCCCCCGUAACUUCGGGAUAAGGGGGGCCUCAGUAAAGUGAAGGACUUUUCGUCCGGAGCUUGAGGAGGCCGCAGCGACUAGAGCCAAGCGACUGUUUACCAAAAACACAGGUGCAUGCGGAGCCGUAAGGCGAUGUAUAUGCACUGACGCCUGCCCAAUGCUGGAAGGUCACGGGGAGAGGUUAGCGCUUGACGCGAAGCUUCGAACUUAAGCCCCAGUGAAUGGCGGCCGUAACUAUAACGGUCCUAAGGUAGCGAAAUUCCUUGUCGGGUAAGUUCCGACCUGCACGAAUGGCGUAACGACUUGGCUACUGUCUCAACCGGAGACUCGGCGAAAUUGCAAUACGAGUAAAGAUGCUCGUUUCCCGCACCAGGACGGUAAGACCCCGUGCACCUUUACUGCAACUUGAUGUUGGGUUUGGGUAUGAACUGUGUAGGAUAGCUGGGAGACUGCGAAGCAGAGGCGUCAGCUUUUGUGGAGUCAACCUUGAAAUACCAGCCUGUUCAUAUCGGAACCUCUCACCACUACCCCUAGAUCGGGGUAUGGGACAGCGUCAGGUGGGUAGUUUGACUGGGGCGGUCGCCUCCUAAAGAGUAUCGGAGGCGUCCAAAGCUAUACUCAGCCUGGUUGGCAAUCAGGCGUUGAGCGCAAAAGUAUAAGUAUGGUUGACUGCAAGACCUACAAGUCAAGCAGGGACGAAAGUCGGGUUUAGUGACCCAGCGGCAGCUUGUGGAAGCGCCGUUGAUUAACGGAUAAAAGGUACGCCGGGGAUAACAGGCUCAUUUUGCCCAAUAGUUCACAUAGACGGCAAAGUUUGGCACCUCGAUGUCGGCUCGUCGCAUCCUGGGGGUGUAGCCACUCCCAAGGGUUGGGCUGUUCGCCCAUUAAAGCGGUACGCGAGCUGGGUUCAGAACGUCGCGAGACAGUUCGGUCCCUAUCCGGUGUGGGCGUAAGAGAUUUGAGGAAAUCUGUUCCUAGUACGAGAGGACCGGAAUGGACGUGGCUCUCGUGUGACAGUUGUCCUGCCAAGGGCAUGGCUGUUUAGCGACCCACGGAAAAGAUAAACGCUGAAAGUAUCUAAGCGUGAAACUUGUUCCAAGAUGAGAUCUCUCAUGUGGUUAACACAGUAAGACCCCUUAUAGACCAUGAGGUUGAUAGGCCAGAAGUGUACGGACAGUAAUGUUCUUAGCUGACUGGUACUUAUCGGUCGAGGGCUUGAGUAU